rnacentral:rRNA from 1 species
GACGAACGCUGGCGGCGUGCUUAACACAUGCAAGUCGAACGGAGUGGCGAACGGGUGAGAAACACGUGGGUGAUCUGCCUUGCACUUCGGGAUAAGCUUGGGAAACUGGGUCUAAUACCGGAUUGUGCAAGAUGAGCUCGCGGCCAAUCAGCUUGGUGGUGGGGUAAUGGCCUACCAAGGCGUCGACGGGUAGCCGGCAUGAGAGGGUGUACGGCCACAUUGGGACGGAGAUACGGACCAGAGGCCUACGGGAGGCAGAAGUGGGGAAUAGUGCACAAUGGGCGGAAGCAUGAUGCAGCGACGCAGCGUGGGGGAUGAAGGCCAACGGGUUGUAAACGCCGUUCGACAGGGACGCGGUACCUGUAUAAGAAGCACCGGCUAACUACGUGCCAGCAGCCGGGGUAAUUC